GACGAACGCUGGCGGCGUGCCUAAUACAUGCAAGUCGAACGCAGUGGGGACGGGUGAGUAACACGUGGGUAACCUCCCAUCAGAGGGGAUAACACUUGGAAACAGGUGCUAAACCGAUACUGAUGGAUGGACCCGCGGUGCAUUAGCUAGUUGGGGAGGUAACGGCUCACCAAGGCCACGAUGCAUAGCGGACCGGAGAGGGUGAUGGGCAACACUGGAACUGAGAACGGGCCCAGCCUCUGACGGGAGGCAGCAGGAGGGAACUUUCGGCAAUGGAGGAAAGUCUGACGGGGCAAGGCGCGUGGAGUGAAGAAGGUUUUCGGUUCGUAAACCUCUGUUGUUAGGGAAGCGGUAUCUAACCAGAAAGCCACGGCUAACUACGUGCCAGCCGCCGCGGUAAUAC
rnacentral:rRNA from 1 species